GUUAUUUUAUAAUUACAAAAAAGAAAAAAUACCAAAGAAACAAAAGCAUUAUAAAUACCCAAAACAAUGAAAGGAAGCACCAAAAAUCGAGUUUGGAGUGAUUGACAUGGAAGCUCAAGCUCUUUGCAAAAGAGCUUGAAGAUGCACCAAAACACCAAUUGAACCAGAACCAGUGAAAGCAGUCAACGAAGCAAUUACAGAGAGAAAGAGAGUGAAAGAUGUCUGACCUAGAUACAAUUCUGAAUAAUUCAACAAUUAAAUUGACGAGGUAAUUAUAUUCAUGUAUUUUCUGAAACAAAACGCGUACGUAUUCAAUGCCAAUUCCCCGAGACUUUGACAUGUUCCUACCAAUAUCUAUUCUUGAACUUUGGCUUAAGCCCUGAUUUAGAAAAAUCAAUCACAGUGAUUAUUGGCUUUUGCCUGCAACAUCUUCAACAAGUGAGUUAAAAUUUUAUUUACUUUGCAACAUCUUUUUUAAUACAC
rnacentral:lncRNA from 1 species